CUACGGAGGGGACUAGCGUUGUUCGGAUUUACUGGGCGUAAAGCGCGCGUAGGCGGUUUGGAAAGUUAGAUGUGAAAUCCCAGGGCUCAACCCUGGAACUGCAUUUGAAACUAUCAGACUAGAGAUUGGGAGAGGUAAGUGGAAUUCCGAGUGUAGAGGUGAAAUUCGUAGAUAUUCGGAGGAACACCAGAGGCGAAGGCGACUUACUGGACCAAUACUGACGCUGAGGUGCGAAAGCGUGGGGAGCAAACAGGAUUAGAAACCCUAGUAGUCC
rnacentral:rRNA from 1 species